GAAAUGCGAUAAGUAAUGUGAAUUGCAGAAUUCAGUGAAUCAUCGAAUCUUUGAACGCACCUUGCGCUCCUUGGUAUUCCGAGGAGCAUGCCUGUUUGAGUGUCAUUUAAUUCUCAAUCCCCUCCAGCUUUUUGUGGUUGGCUUGGUGGAUUGGAUGUGGGGGUUUAUCGUGCGGGCCUCUUCAGAGGUCGGCUCCCCUGAAAUGCAUUAGCGGAACCGUUUGCGGGACUGUCACUGGUGUGAUAAUUAUCUAUGCCAAAGACAACCGCUCUCAGAUAGUACUGCUCCUAAUCGUCCUUUAAUUGGACAACAAUAUCUGAACGCUUGACCUCAAAUCAGGUAGGACUACCCGCUGAACUUAA
rnacentral:misc_RNA from 1 species